AGGGGCGUAGCUCAAUUGGCAGAGCAUCGGUCUCCAAAACCGAAGGUCGGGGGUUCGAUUCCCUCCGCCCCUG
rnacentral:tRNA from 1 species